rnacentral:lncRNA from 1 species
UCCUUUAAGCAUAGUGCAUUUUCUUAGCUACACCCCUAAAUUUCAGUCAGUUUUUAUCUUUUCUAUAUUUUUAUUUAUUUAUUGUUUUCUUAUUAUUACUUUAUUUAUUUAUUUUUGUUUUUUUUUCUUUACUUUUUUAAUUCUUUUAUCUUUUGUAUUAAUAAUAUGCCUCUCCCUUUUAUUUUUUAUUUUAUUUUUUAAAAUUAUUAUUGCUUUAUUUUUUAGUUUAUUUUAUUAUAUUUUUAGUUGAUGUAUAAUUAUUAAUCCCAAAAGAUAAAAUGACCCUUAAAAUUGAUCUUUCAAAAAUACUAAAAUCAAAUGUGCUUGAUCAACAUCAAGUGCAUUUUUUUAAAAUCACACCAAAAUAUUUUCAAACCAAAAUCAAUUGCUUAACAUCCAUUAACCUUCACAAAUAAAAUCAAUCCUUUAAAAAAAUCAACUUGGUCAACACCAAGACUUUUUCUUUAAUAACAACCUCAUAUCAUUUUAAACUAUUUUUCAUAAUCCAUUCAAACGCAAAUCAAAUGCUUGAUCAAAUGUCAAUCUCCUUUCAUAUUCAAACCAAAUCCUCUACUCCAACGUUUUUUUUUGCAAUAAACAAAUCGAUUGAAAAAUAUUGGGGUGGAAAU